rnacentral:tRNA from 1 species
GGCCGGUUGGCUCAGUUGGUUAGAGCGCUGCAUUCACAUUGCAGAGGUCGGGGGUUCGAAUCCCUCACCGGCCA